rnacentral:rRNA from 1 species
AAAUUGAAGAGUUUGAUCAUGGCUCAGAUUGAACGCUGGCGGCAGGCCUAACACAUGCAAGUCGAACGGUAACAGGAAACAGCUUGCUGUUUCGCUGACGAGUGGCGGACGGGUGAGUAAUGUCUGGGAAACUGCCUGAUGGAGGGGGAUAACUACUGGAAACGGUAGCUAAUACCGCAUAACGUCGCAAGACCAAAGAGGGGGACCUUCGGGCCUCUUGCCAUCGGAUGUGCCCAGAUGGGAUUAGCUAGUAGGUGGGGUAACGGCUCACCUAGGCGACGAUCCCUAGCUGGUCUGAGAGGAUGACCAGCCACACUGGAACUGAGACACGGUCCAGACUCCUACGGGAGGCAGCAGUGGGGAAUAUUGCACAAUGGGCGCAAGCCUGAUGCAGCCAUGCCGCGUGUAUGAAGAAGGCCUUCGGGUUGUAAAGUACUUUCAGCGGGGAGGAAGGGAGUAAAGUUAAUACCUUUGCUCAUUGACGUUACCCGCAGAAGAAGCACCGGCUAACUCCGUGCCAGCAGCCGCGGUAAUACGGAGGGUGCAAGCGU